rnacentral:rRNA from 1 species
CCCAGACUCCUACGGGAGGCAGCAGUGGGGAAUAUUGCACAAUGGGGGAAACCCUGAUGCAGCGACGCCGCGUGGAGGAAGAAGGUCUUCGGAUUGUAAACUCCUGUUGUUGAGGAAGAUAAUGACGGUACUCAACAAGGAAGUGACGGCUAACUACGUGCCAGCAGCCGCGGUAAAACGUAGGUCACAAGCGUUGUCCGGAAUUACUGGGUGUAAAGGGAGCGCAGGCGGGCGAUCAAGUUGGAAGUGAAAUCCAUGGGCUCAACCCAUGAACUGCUUUCAAAACUGAUUGUCUUGAGUAGUGCAGAGGUAGGCGGAAUUCCCGGUGUAGCGGUGGAAUGCGUAGAUAUCGGGAGGAACACCAGUGGCGAAGGCGGCCUACUGGGCACCAACUGACGCUGAGGCUCGAAAGUGUGGGUAGCAAACAGGAUUAGAUACCCUGGUAGUCCACACCGUAAACGAUGAUUACUAGGUGUUGGAGGAUUGACCCCUUCAGUGCCGCAGUUAACACAAUAAGUAAUCCACCUGGGGAGUACGACCGCAAGGUUGAAACUCAAAGGAAUUGACGGGGGCCCGCACAAGCAGUGGAGUAUGUGGUUUAAUUCGACGCAACGCGAAGAACCUUACCAAGUCUUGACAUCCUGCGACGAUGCUAGAAAUAGUAUUUUCCUUCGGGACGCAGAGACAGGUGGUGCAUGGUUGUCGUCAGCUCGUGUCGUGAGAUGUUGGGUUAAGUCCCGCAACGAGCGCAACCCUUAUGGUCAGUUACUACGCAAGAGGACUCUGGCCAGACUGCCGUUGACAAAACGGAGGAAGGUGGGGAUGACGUCAAAUCAUCAUGCCCUUUAUGACUUGGGCUACACACGUACUACAAUGGCGUUAAACAAAGAGAAGCAAGACCGCGAGGUGGAGCAAAACUCAGAAACAACGUCCCAGUUCGGACUGCAGGCUGCAACUCGCCUGCACGAAGUCGGAAUUGCUAGUAAUCGCAGAUCAG